rnacentral:rRNA from 1 species
AGACCCGAAACCCGGUGAUCUAGCCAUGGGCAGGUUGAAGGUUGGGUAACACUAACUGGAGGACCGAACCGACUAAUGUUGAAAAAUUAGCGGAUGACUUGUGGCUGGGGGUGAAAGGCCAAUCAAACCGGGAGAUAGCUGGUUCUCCCCGAAAGCUAUUUAGGUAGCGCCUCGUGAAUUCAUCUCCGGGGGUAGAGCACUGUUUCGGCAAGGGGGUCAUCCCGACUUACCAACCCGAUGCAAACUGCGAAUACCGGAGAAUGUUAUCACGGGAGACACACGGCGGGUGCUAACGUCCGUCGUGAAGAGGGAAACAACCCAGACCGCCAGCUAAGGUCCCAAAGUCAUGGUUAAGUGGGAAACGAUGUGGGAAGGCCCAGACAGCCAGGAUGUUGGCUUAGAAGCAGCCAUCAUUUAAAGAAAGCGUAAUAGCUCACUGGUCGAGUCGGCCUGCGCGGAAGAUGUAACGGGGCUAAACCAUGCACCGAAGCUGCGGCAGCGACACUGUGUGUUGUUGGGUAGGGGAGCGUUCUGUAAGCCUGUGAAGGUGUGCUGUGAGGCAUGCUGGAGGUAUCAGAAGUGCGAAUGCUGACAUAAGUAACGAUAAAGCGGGUGAAAAGCCCGCUCGCCGGAAGACCAAGGGUUCCUGUCCAACGUUAAUCGGGGCAGGGUGAGUCGACCCCUAAGGCGAGGCCGAAAGGCGUAGUCGAUGGGAAACAGGUUAAUAUUCCUGUACUUGGUGUUACUGCGAAGGGGGGACGGAGAAGGCUAUGUUGGCCGGGCGACGGUUGUCCCGGUUUAAGCGUGUAGGCUGGUUUUCCAGGCAAAUCCGGAAAAUCAAGGCUGAGGCGUGAUGACGAGGCACUACGGUGCUGAAGCAACAAAUGCCCUGCUUCCAGGAAAAGCCUCUAAGCAUCAGGUAACAUCAAAUCGUACCCCAAACCGACACAGGUGGUCAGGUAGAGAAUACCAAGGCGCUUGAGAGAACUCGGGUGAAGGAACUAGGCAAAAUGGUGCCGUAACUUCGGGAGAAGGCACGCUGAUAUGUAGGUGAAGUCCCUCGCGGAUGGAGCUGAAAUCAGUCGAAGAUACCAGCUGGCUGCAACUGUUUAUUAAAAACACAGCACUGUGCAAACACGAAAGUGGACGUAUACGGUGUGACGCCUGCCCGGUGCCGGAAGGUUAAUUGAUGGGGUCAGCGCAAGCGAAGCUCUUGAUCGAAGCCCCGGUAAACGGCGGCCGUAACUAUAACGGUCCUAAGGUAGCGAAAUUCCUUGUCGGGUAAGUUCCGACCUGCACGAAUGGCGUAAUGAUGGCCAGGCUGUCUCCACCCGAGACUCAGUGAAAUUGAACUCGCUGUGAAGAUGCAGUGUACCCGCGGCAAGACGGAAAGACCCCGUGAACCUUUACUAUAGCUUGACACUGAACAUUGAGCCUUGAUGUGUAGGAUAGGUGGGAGGCUUUGAAGUGUGGACGCCAGUCUGCAUGGAGCCGACCUUGAAAUACCACCCUUUAAUGUUUGAUGUUCUAACGUGGACCCGUGAUCCGGGUUGCGGACAGUGUCUGGUGGGUAGUUUGACUGGGGCGGUCUCCUCCUAAAGAGUAACGGAGGAGCACGAAGGUUGGCUAAUCCUGGUCGGACAUCAGGAGGUUAGUGCAAUGGCAUAAGCCAGCUUGACUGCGAGCGUGACGGCGCGAGCAGGUGCGAAAGCAGGUCAUAGUGAUCCGGUGGUUCUGAAUGGAAGGGCCAUCGCUCAACGGAUAAAAGGUACUCCGGGGAUAACAGGCUGAUACCGCCCAAGAGUUCAUAUCGACGGCGGUGUUUGGCACCUCGAUGUCGGCUCAUCA